rnacentral:lncRNA from 1 species
AACCUCGACAAACAAGCCAAAACUGUAGGGGUGUGCUGAAGCUCUUAACCACUGACAUUGACCGUCAGGGUGAGCAGAUGAAAGGUAAUGAGGGUUAGACCUCAUGGCUCUUAACCCUAGCCUGGGUGAGCUCAAAUCAAAGAAGACGUGGGGGUCCAGAAAGAGGGAUCCUAUUCCACUUGACUGACUCUAUACAAGAUCUUG